AUUGAACGCUGGCGGCAUGCCUUACACAUGCAAGUCGAACGGUAACAGGUCUUCGGAUGCUGACGAGUGGCGAACGGGUGAGUAAUACAUCGGAACGUGCCUAGUAGUGGGGGAUAACUACUCGAAAGAGUGGCUAAUACCGCAUGAGAUCUACGGAUGAAAGCAGGGGAUCGCAAGACCUUGUGCUACUAGAGCGGCCGAUGGCAGAUUAGGUAGUUGGUGGGAUAAAAGCUUACCAAGCCGCCGAUCUGUAGCUGGUCUGAGGAUGAUCAGCCACACUGGAACUGAGACACGGUCCAGACUCCUACGGGAGGCAGCAGUGGGGAAUAUUGGACAAUGGGCGCAAGCCUGAUCCAGCCAUGCCGCGUGGGUGAAGAAGGCCUUCGGGUUGUAAAGCCCUUUUGUCCGGAAAGAAAAGUCCUGGGUUAACACCCUGGGGUGAUGACGGUACCGGAAGAAUAAGCACCGGCUAACUUCGUGCCAGCCGCCGCCGUAAUAC
rnacentral:rRNA from 1 species